rnacentral:rRNA from 1 species
CAGCAGCCACGGGAAUACAGAGGAUGCAAGCGUUAUCCGGAAUGAUUGGGCGUAAAGCGUCUGUAGGUGGCUUUUCAAGUCCGCCGUCAAAUCCCAGGGCUCAACCCUGGACAGGCAGUGGAAACUACCAAGCUGGAGUACGGUAGGGGCAGAGGGAAUUUCUGGUGGAGCGGUGAAAUGCGUUGAGAUCGGAAAGAACACCAGCGGCGAAAGCACUCUGCUGGCCGACACUGACACUGAGAGACGAAAGCUAGGGGAGCAAAUGGGAUUAGAUACCCCAGUAGUCCCUGUCUCUUAUACA